rnacentral:lncRNA from 1 species
AUGUAACAUCAAUCCGUCAGUCAGUCAGUCAGUCGGUCCAAACUGGAAUCUUCUCCGUUCUGGAUCGGCUGUGGUCUGCAGCACCACCUGCUCUGCUCUACCUCUCUCUCUCUCUCUCUCUCUCUCUCUCUCUCUCUCUGCUCUCCCUCCCUCCCUCAGCCCGCGGGAUCCGUGUUUUGCAUCGCUCCCCAAUUUGCAUUUAUUCCUCAGACUUUCCGUGCGGCGCUCCAGCCGUUCUUCUAGCGAGAGGUCGUACAACGGUGGCAGUAUCCACGCGGCCCGCGUUUACAGAACAAUACGCACAGUAGAACCCACUGGAACAUCUGAAUAAUGUUGCCGAAGCUUUCCGAAAGUACAAAUUGAGCGGUUUUUGGGUGUUUUUUUAAAAUCCAUUUGGAUCAAUCGCGUUUGGUUGCGCACCAGACGAGACACGUGCCUUCGAGGUAAACAGACAGCAGGACUGGACAGCCAGAUAGUAGCCUUGGUUAACGUUACAUUGUUUUUCUCCUGCGUUUUAAGCGUGCAUAAGCGGUUAUAACGCCACCAUAGUGGACGUAGACGUCGAGCGGAGGUUCAUUUUGUUUUCGUUUGUGCACCUUGGUUGAUAAUUGAGACGCAGUUGGACAUGUCGGAAGUACUACAAGACAAAAUGAGUCAUUAUGGAAAUGAGGAUGACGAGGGACACCUUUCCUUCACCUGUCGUCUCCAAGACACCAACAACUUCUUCAGCGGCUCGCAGGGGGGAAAACGCCCGCCCAAACUUGGACAGAUAGGCAGAAGCAAACGAGUUGUCGAGGACGAGAACGGUGUUGACGAGGCGCUAAAAAACGGGACAGAGAAAACACAGACAGAGGCUUAAACACAUCAACCCCCGGAAGGACAUAGAUUCUCAUUUUCUAUUUGAUCCAAAGACACUGUAUAUAAGCACUUUUACUCCAUGUGGCAGCAAGCACUUCCUGUCCCAUCUCCUCUCUCUCCCAGUCCUCAUGAUGAUCUCCUGAGACUUAUACUGGCAGGAUGGGGAAGCAGCCGAGAUGGAGACAGACAGAGAGAUGAAGACAGAGGUGGAGACAGAGAGAGUGAUGGAGACAGACAGAGAGAUGAAGACAGAGGUGGAGACAGAGAGAGUGAUGGAGACAGACAGAGAGAUGAAGACAGAGGUGGAGACAGAGAGAGUGAUGGAGACAGACAGAGAGAUGAAGACAGAGGUGGAGACAGAGAGAGUGAUGGAGACAGACAGAGAGAUGAAGACAGAGGUGGAGACAGAGAGAGUGAUGGAGACAGACAGAGAGAUGAAGACAGAGAGAGUGAUGGAGACAGACAGAGAGAUGAAGACAGAGGUGGAGACAGAGAGAUGAAGACAGAGAUGAAGAGAGAGGCGGAGAGAGAGAGACAGAGAUGAAGAGAGAGGCAGAGAGAGACGGAUGAAGAGAGAGGCGGAGACAGAGAGAGAGACAGAUACAGAGACAGAGAUAAAGAGAGAGGCAGAGACAGAGAUGAAGACAGAGAUAAAGAGAGAGGCGGAGACAGAGAGAGAGGCGGAGACAGAGAGAGGCGGAGACAGAGAUAAAGACAGAGAUAAAGAGAGAGGCAGAGACAGAGAUGAAGACAGAGACAGAGAUGAAGAGAGAGACAGAGAUGAAGACAGAGAUGAAGAGAGAGACAGAGAUGAAGAGAGAGACAGAGAUGAAGAGAGCGACAGAGAUGAAGAGAGAGGCGGAGACAGAGGCCCAGGUGAAAUAGGUGAAUUCUAUCAUCCAGGGUUUAGGCCCACAGAACUCUUCUAAAACAGGAAUGGCCUAAGAGAGCUACUGGGUGAGCAGCAGGCUUUUGCUCCAGCCCUACACUUUUUUUACACUAGUCAACCAUUGGUCGUACAAUCAAAACUCCUAAGCAGGCAGCCAACAAAUGUAGCCGUGUAGAAAGGGUCUUUCACACACCAGAUUCAGCCAAUCAAGUUCCUGGGUAGCAGGUGAUUAGUAGAAUCAGGUGUGUUUACAGUAUGUUUGGAGCAGCUAAACCAUGUAACCAGGAGAGGAUGAUGAAGGAGGAAGAGGAUGAAUCUAAGGUUCCAGCGGUAGAAAGAGACGAUGCUUUCGAACCCUCACAGAAAUCAGGGAAGGAACAGUAUAAAAACAGUAUAAAUGAUCUACUUAACUAAAGCACACAUUGUUAUAUCAAUCAAACCGUAUGAUAUUACAUAACCAUUCUUUCUGCUCUUGAUUCUUAUGACGACGAGUGCAAACAAAUAAUAUAGGAAACGUGUAAAUAAGAAAUGGUAGCCCCACGUUUUGUUAGCCUGGACACCAGUCUGUUCCUGCUGUCUUGUCAACUCCUUAUGGAAUUGUCAUGUUUGGCGUCAGAAUGAGUGAUAAAGAGUUGGCAAGACAGCACAAAUAGAUCUGGAAACCAGGCUAGCGUUUUGUUGCACAGAGGAGAAAAGAAGCGUGAAAUGGUUUGUUGUAAUCUAACAUAACGUGUGUGUGUAAAGAUACCUUAUUUAUUGACCCUUUGGAUACGUAUUUUCCAGUGCUCAAGGCCUGACUGAGGGACAGUUUUGUAUGUAGAGAAUUGCGAUGACAGAAUGAAUGAAAGCGAUUUCCCCUUUUUUACUUCUUAUGAAUUUUUAUGUCGCCUGAUCAGUUUUUGCAGCUAUAGAGUCAUUUAUAUACGUUAUACAGGACUGUACAUCACAUGUUUGUAAUGUUCCAAGAGGCUUAAGUCUGGAUCGUUAAAUACAACUGUACACCCUCCCCUAUUGAUAAACUAUUUCUAUUGCAUUGCGCAUUAUCGUGUGUGCCAAAUAUCAUGAGGGAUAAGCAGACCACUUGGUUGUUUAUGUUGUGCUUUCUAUACCGUUAUAAAUGUAGACAUUUUGUUCUUCUUCGGUUGUUGCCAUUGUUCAGGGCUAUUUCUUACCACUGAAUUACCAACGCAUGCAUGGCAGAAAUGGGUGGAUGCAUGGCAGAAAUGGGUUGAUGCAUGGCAGAAAUGGGUUGAUGCAUGGCAGAAAUGGAUUGAUGCAUGGCAACGUUCUAAAGAUGAUCUUAGUGUAUUCUGGAACACCUGGUACCCAGCUUUGAACGACUAACCUCCAGAACCAUCUUAAUACUACAUACCUUGUACUGUACUGUACUGUACUAUGAUCUUACUGAUUUGUACUGUAGCCUAAUAUCUUGUAAUAAAGAUUCUGAAGAAGAUAAUUAAGAAGUG